UUAAAUUUAUUUUGCAAUAUAUGUGUUGUACUAUAUUAUUUAAUAGAAUAAUAGUUAAAUUGCUUACAAUUUAUAUCAUUUCCACAUUGUCAAUAUUAUAAUUGCAUAUUGACUCAGGAUGAGACGACAGUAGAUCAUGCCACCUGAUGGGUUACAUCAGGAUCGCGUGCGCAUCGGUAUUGAUCAAAGACAGAUAGUAAAGGAAUAUUUUUGGGAUGUACCUUGGUUGAGUAUAACUAUCUGGGCUGUGAAAAUUUGAUUGCCGAAGAAAAGGUCCUUGGUCGAGCGUUGCCUUUGGGCGCCGAUUAUAUUCGAUAUCAAGUGACCAGGCUGUAUUUAAGGACCCUGGUUGAGCUUCGCUCUCCGGACGCCAGUCCUAUUAAAAUAAGAGAGUCGAAAGGCUGCUAGUAUUGGGGUUAGGGUUCUGCUGAAGUGCUUGCCCUUUAUGAGUUAAAAAAUAUUUAUUUUAAAAUUAUGCUAUGGUACAUAUUUAUUAUUUUAUGAUGU
rnacentral:lncRNA from 1 species